AUUGAACGCUGGCGGCAUGCCUUACACAUGCAAGUCGAACGGCAGCACGGGGCAACCUGGUGGCGAGUGGCGAACGGGUGAGUAAUGCAUCGGAACGUGCCAUUGAGUGGGGGAUAACGUAGCGAAAGUUGCGCUAAUACCGCAUAUUCUGUGAGCAGGAAAGCAGGGGGACCGCAAGGCCUUGCGCUCUUUGAGCGGCCGAUGUCAGAUUAGCUAGUUGGUGAGGUAACGGCUUACCAAGGCGACGAUCUGUAGCGGGUCUGAGAGGAUGAUCCGCCACACUGGAACUGAGACACGGUCCAGACUCCUACGGGAGGCAGCAGUGGGGAAUUUUGGACAAUGGGCGCAAGCCUGAUCCAGCCAUGCCGCGUGAGUGAAGAAGGCCUUC
rnacentral:rRNA from 1 species